AUACUAUAGCCUUACGUAAUUUGGUGAUUUUGGUGAAAAAUGAAAAGUGUUUUUUAUUGCAUAUCUGAAUAAAACUGGAUACAUUUCACCAUGCCCAGGGGGGUUCCCUGCUUAUUUGAUUCAUUUUUCAUGGAAAAAUUGAGGUUUUAUGAAUGGUCCAAAAUUACACCAAAUGGUAAUACUAUAGCCUUACGUAAUUUGGUGAUUUUGGUGAAAAAUGAAAAGUGUUUUUUAUUGCAUAUCUGAAUACAAUUCAAUACAUUUCACCAUGCCCAGGGGUUUUCCCUACUUAUUUGAGUCAUUUUUCAUGGAAAAAUCAGGUUUUCAUGAAUGGUCCAAAAUUACACCAAAAGGUAAUACUAUAGCCUUACGUAAUUUGGUGAUUUUGGUGAAAAAUGAAAAGUGUUUUUUAUUGCAUAUCUGAAUACAAUUCAAUACAUUUCACCAUGCCCAGGGGUUUUCCCUGCUUAUUUGAUUCAUUUUUCAUGGAAAAAUCAGGUUCUCAUGAAUGGUCCAAAAUUACACCAAAAGGUAAUACUAUAGCCUUACGUAAUUUGGUGAUUUUGG